rnacentral:rRNA from 1 species
AACGAACGCUGGCGGCAUGCCUAACACAUGCAAGUCGAACGAACCCUUCGGGGUUAGCGGCGCACGGGUGCGUAACGCGUGGGAACCUGCCUUUAGGUUCGGAAUAACUCAGAGAAAUUUGAGCUAAUACCGGAUAAUGUCUUCGGACCAAAGAUUUAUCGCCUUUAGAUGGGCCCGCGUUAGAUUAGAUAGUUGGUGGGGUAAUGGCCUACCAAGUCGACGAUCUAUAGCUGGUCUGAGAGGAUGAUCAGCCACACUGGGACUGAGACACGGCCCAGACUCCUACGGGAGGCAGCAGUGGGGAAUAUUGGACAAUGGGCGAAAGCCUGAUCCAGCAAUGCCGCGUGAGUGAUGAAGGCCUUAGGGUUGUAAAGCUCUUUUACCAGGGAUGAUAAUGACAGUACCUGGAGAAUAAGCUCCGGCUAACUCCGUGCCAGCAGCCGCGGUAAUACGGAGGGAGCUAGCGUUGUUCGGAAUUACUGGGCGUAAAGCGCGCGU